rnacentral:misc_RNA from 1 species
AAAAAAAAAAAAGAAAGAAAAAAUAUUUUAAAAAAAUUUAUAACUAAAAAGUAAAAACAAUGUUAUAUUUAGUGUUUAUGAAUGGAGUCUGAUCUUAACUAAUGACAAGUUGAUGAAGAAUCGAUUUUAGGACUAAUGUUUAGUGGUUUCAAUUUUUAAAAAUAUUAGGACUUGAUUAUUAGAAAAAAGUAUUUGGAAAUAAUUUUAAAAAGUAUCAACCUUUUAGUACUACUGCAAAUGAUUUUUUAGUGCGUCAGCCUAGAUCAAACCAAAUUCUUGCUUACAUCUCAUUAACAAAUGAGCGCCAGAAUUAGAUUUUCUCAUUUUUUAGGAGUCUAAGCAAUUGGAAAUAAUUUUGUCCAAAUUUGGUGUGUCUAUACAUGGACACUUAUGAGUAAAUCUAAUCUUGUUUAAGAUCUGCAUUUUCUAGCAAAGUUUCAAAAGUAAAUUUGAAUCCAUUUUAAUGUUAAUAGAUAAACUCAAAU